ACUUCGUCAGCUGCGAUUUCACGUGACUCCACAAGUUUUCUAUUGGAUUCUUAUCGGGAGAUUGUCGUGGCCACUUCAUAAUUGAAAUUUCUGUUUUGAAAUCAAAUUUUUAACUAAUAUGGACGUGUGCUUCGGGUCGUUGUCUUGCUGAAAAAACGCAUUUUUCGACCGAAAGACCUAUAUUCCCAAUAACUUUUGGAAGAUUUUCUUGCAAUAUGGCUAGAUAUUGCUCCUUUCGCAUAAUUCCAUCGAUUAGCACCAAGGGACCAACUCAUUUGAGUUAAUGCACCCCUGUUAAUGCACCGAUGGAAAAUACAAGGGGACGUGGACUUAUUAUUAAAAAAUCAUUAAAAAAAAUAUUUGUUAAAAAAAAUAACUAGAGUGCAAAACUGUAACAUUUGACUAUUUUUACAGUUUGGCGUGCCAUUUUCUUUAACUAAUAACAAAUGGCUUUCAAUUUUGCUUAAUAAUAGUAUAUGACAUAACCAACAAAACUAGACUAAGAUUUUUAAAAUGCGUGCAUUAGAAAAAAAGUUACAGACCUUUGAAGUUGCAACAAUGAACUCGUGUUACAGUUUUGCUCGUCAGUGUAUAUACAGCGCAAAGUGAGGGUAAUUGAUCCUACAUACAUAAAUUGUAUUCAUUGUAUGUUUGUUCUGGACUUUGGUUCAGAUAAGACCAAGGUUAUGGAGUUUAUAGUUAAUAUCUGCUUCUUCUGAAUCUGGCUAAAACUUAAUAUAUGUAUGUAUGUACCUGUAAGGCUAAAAUAUUAUAACUCAAAUUCAGAAUUUACUGAUAUGUAUGGAUAUACUAAAAGGUAACUAUACUAUACAUAUGUAUGUAUGUUUGUACAAUAACUAACCUUUCGCAUUGCAGUUUGGGGAAAACGGUUGUCCCGAA